UAGGGGGUAAUUAAAAAUUAUAAAUAUAAUAAAAAUAAUUUUAAAAAUAUUUAAUGGGGGUUAAAGUAUUUUUUAGAAAAAAUUUUUAAAUUUAUAGUGAAAUAGUAUUGUAAAAGAAUUUUGAAAAAUUUUGAAAAUUAAAUUAAUAUAAAAGUAAAUUUAAUUUAUUGUAUCUUGUGUAUCAGAGUUUAUUAAAUAAUAUUUUAAGAAAAAAAUAUCUCGAAUUUAAAGGAGAUAAUUAAUUAAUAAAGUUAAUGUUAUAUAAUUAUUUUAAAUAAUUAAUUUGAAAUGAGAUGUUAAUCGUUUUUAAAUAUAUCUAGUUUUUUUAGAAAAAAAUUUAAUUUUAAAUUAAUUAUUUUUUAUUUAUUAAUUUAUUAAUAAAUAAGAAGUUUAAUUAAAUAUUUUAAGGGAUAAGCUUUAAAUUAAAUUUUUAUAAUUUAAAUUAAAUUUAAAAUAAAAUUUUUAAAAUUUAAAUUUUUUAAAAAUUAUUAUUUUUUAUAAAUAAUUUUAUUUAAUUUUUAAAAUUUAAUAAUAAUUUAAAUUUAUAUAAAAAAAUAAUAUUUAAUUUAUUUAUAUUAGAUAUAAUGAUAAAAUUAGUAUAUUAAAAAAUAAAUUUAUAAAAAUAAAAAAAAAUUAAAGAAAAGGAAUUCGGCAAAAAU
rnacentral:rRNA from 1 species